UACGGAGGGUGCAAGCGUUGCUCGGAAUUAUUGGGCGUAAAGGGUAGGUAGGUGGUCUCAUUUGUCUGGGGUGAAAGCCUUGAGCUUAACUCGAGAAGUGCCCCAGAAACGGUGAGACUAGAGUCCUGGAGAGGGUCGUGGAAUUCCCGGUGUAGCGGUGAAAUGCGUAGAGAUCGGGAGGAACACCAGAGGCGAAGGCGGCGACCUGGACAGGCACUGACACUCAACUACGAAAGCGUGGGAGCAAACAGG
rnacentral:rRNA from 1 species